rnacentral:rRNA from 1 species
GAUGAACGCUGGCGGCGUGCCUAAUACAUGCCAGUCGAGCGAACGUACGAGAAGCUUGCUUCUCUGAUGUUAGCGGCGGACGGGUGAGUAACACGUGGAUAACCUACCUAUAAGACUGGGAUAACUUCGGGAAACCGGAGCUAAUACCGGAUAAUAUUUUGAACCGCAUGGUUCAAAAGUGAAAGACGGUCUUGCUGUCACUUAUAGAUGGAUCCGCGCUGCAUUAGCUAGUUGGUAAGGUAACGGCUUACCAAGGCAACGAUGCAUAGCCGACCUGAGAGGGUGAUCGGCCACACUGGAACUGAGACACGGUCCAGACUCCUACGGGAGGCAGCAGUAGGGAAUCUUCCGCAAUGGGCGAAAGCCUGACGGAGCAACGCCGCGUGAGUGAUGAAGGUCUUCGGAUCGUAAAACUCUGUUAUUAGGGAAGAACAUAUGUGUAAGUAACUGUGCACAUCUUGACGGUACCUAAUCAGAAAGCCACGGCUAACUACGUG